rnacentral:lncRNA from 1 species
AACAAUGCAACGGUAAAAAUUAAAAUCACAAGAUGAAUGCAAGAAAAUAAAAUUCAGGAUUAACCAUGCUAAACAACUAAACAACUAUAAUCACAAAUUAAGACAAUGAGAAAUUGCAGUAGCAAGAAGUAAAGAAAGUAAUGCAUAAUUGGAAAAUCUAUAAAUUUAAAUGUAUGUAUGUAACAAAGAAAAUCACUACUCAAAAUUAAAAACCUCUGCAAAGGAAAGGAGAUGAGUGUGCUUUUUUUUUUUUUUUAAAAAAAGAAAUUCCCAACCGAGUCCACUAUCCGUGUGCAUCUUCUAAAGUCCAAUUGAAAGAAAUGCUGGCUGCACCGUACACUACCACCUCUGGACAUGAGCUACCAAGGUUUCAUUCGAGAAAAGA